UGCAAACAGAAGAUACUUAGUCCAAUGAAACAUGCCACACGUAUGACAUUGGUUAAUCGUAUCAUCUCAUAUGUAUUGUAAAGUUCAGAAGCAGAACAAAAUGGUAGAACAAGAAAUGCAAACGGUACAUGUGUUUCUGAUGCUUAGCUCAUUUAGCUUCUUAUGAUGUUCUGACAUGAGUACAGUUGGUCUUUUUUUAGAUCGAUCAGCUUCUCAAUGAAAGGAUUCUGAUUUUUUUCUUGAGAUAUCAGAUGCUAUGGUUGACAUUGACAGUGUUUUUCUGCUGGAGAACUUGGUGCAGGAUUAAUAACAUAACCAUUAGAACCUCAGGAUUUGAGGUGAUGUUUUGUUUUCCAGUUUCUUAUGGAGCCAUAUUGUUCAUUGACAAUGUUUUUUAUUGUUCAUCAUAAUUAGUCUUGACCUUCAAAUUGUCCAUCUCACCUUAAAUGUCUACUGCAGUGUUAUCAUACAUUGCAGGAUUUUGAAUUUGCAACGCCUUUAUUUUCUUGUGUCUCACUCAUCCUUUUGCUCCUGAUAGUAGAAAAAAUAGAAAAGGUAAAAAGGUGCAAAAGAUUGGAUCAAAUAAAAUAAUUCAGAGAGUGUCUCCAAAUUAAUGUGUGUUUUUAUAUUUUCCUAAUGCGGAUUCUCUCAGCUUAUGCUCAACUGCAGAAAAGUCCUUGCCAUUUCUAUUCAAGAGGUAUAUGCAAACCAGUACUGAUCAUGCAAGAAAAUAUUAUGGGACAGAGCUUGGACUGGCGAUUUGCAAGCAAUUGGUGGAGUUGAUGGGUGGUACUCUAACUGUGGUUAGCAACGAGAAUGAAGGAUUAACAUUUACAUUCAAGAUACCUUGCAAGCUUACUGUAAAAGAGGUGCACAUUGAUGAUCCUGAUGAUGUGUCCAUUUCUCAUUAUGAUUUUACUGUAGGUGAUAUAGAAGGUUCUUACUGUAAAUGUUAGGAGAAUAGAUGACGAGCAAGAUGAUGAUUUAAUGGUCUUUGAACUAAAUAGUCAAGUUGAAUGGAUUUACUGUUCAUAAAGGUAGGACAUCAGUUUCAGGGGCAGGCAUUCAGGAGGGAAGGAAAGCAUGCAAAGCUUUUGAAGGAAAAUCACUUAACAAGAAAUCCAAGUGUUCUCCAAGUAGCAGUAAGGCAAUAAUCCUCCUUGUAGAAGAUAACAAAGUCAAUAUAUUGGUGGGGAAAAUCAAUGCUGGUGCUGCUGGGCUAUGGAAUAUACAAGAAACAAUGGAGUCGAAGCAAUCCCACGUACAGGAGCAUCAAUAUGAUCUUAUCCUGAUGAUGACAUCAUUCUUUUCAGAGAGCGCUGAUGAGUGCCUUGCUGCAGGCAUGGGUUCUUACAUAUCACCUCUUCUUUGCUGUUACUUGAUGUAUGUACAAGAUUUAAGUUGGAUAGUAUCGGAUGAUUUUAAUUGUGUGAUAAAUAAACUGGAGUUUUUUUAUCCACACAUUCUAGGGCUUUGUGCACGUAUCAUCAUCUCAUGUUUGUUGGAUAUAAGUACACGUUAGCAG